rnacentral:misc_RNA from 1 species
AACUUUUGGCAAUGGAUCUCUUGGCUCUCGCAUCGAUGAAGAACGCAGCGAAAUGCGAUAAGUAAUGUGAAUUGCAGAAUUCAGGGAAUCAUCGAAGCUUUGAACGCAUCUUGCGCUCCGUGGUAUUCCGAGGAGCAUGCCUGUUUGAGUGUCAUUUAAACUCUCAAACCACGUCGUUCGUUCGAUGUGGCGGUGGAUGGUGGUGGGUCGCAGGCUUUUCUUCUGACGGCGUCUGCCUGCAUGAAAUAAAUUAGUGGCGACUGAGGUGGCCAGCGCUAGUUGUGAUAAACAAUAUCAUCGAUGCAUUACGCAUGAAACAGCUUGAGCCGCUUAAACCGAAAACAGUUCUUGACAAACUGGACCCCCCAUCGGGUAGGAAUACCCGCUGUCCUUAGGCAAAUCAUUAAGCGGAAGCU